UACGGGGGGGCAAGCGUUGUUCGGAAUUACUGGGCGUAAAGGGCUCGUAGGCGGCCAACUAAGUCCGACGUGAAAUCCCCAGGCUUAACCUGGGAACUGCGUCGGAUACUGGAUGGCUUGAAUUCGGGAGAGGGAUGCAGAAUUCCAGGUGUAGCGGUGAAAUGCGUAGAUAUCUGGAGGAAUACCGGUGGCGAAGGCGGCAUCCUGGACCGACAUUGACGCUGAUGGACGCGAAAGCCAGGGGGAGCCGGA
rnacentral:rRNA from 1 species